rnacentral:rRNA from 1 species
UAGGGAAUCUUCGGCAAUGGGGGCAACCCUGACCGAGCAACGCCGCGUGAGUGAAGAAGGUUUUCGGAUCGUAAAGCUCUGUUGUAAGUCAAGGACGAGUGUGAGAGUGGAAAGUUCACACUGUGACGGUAGCUUACCAGAAAGGGACGGCUAACUACGUGCCAGCAGCCGCGGUAAUACGUAGGUCCCGAGCGUUGUCCGGAUUUAUUGGGCGUAAAGCGAGCGCAGGCGGUUUGAUAAGUCUGAAGUUAAAGGCUGUGGCUCAACCAUAGUUCGCUUUGGAAACUGUCAAACUUGAGUGCAGAAGGGGAGAGUGGAAUUCCAUGUGUAGCGGUGAAAUGCGUAGAUAUAUGGAGGAACACCGGUGGCGAAAGCGGCUCUCUGGUCUGUAACUGACGCUGAGGCUCGAAAGCGUGGGGAGCGAACAGGAUUAGAUACCCUGGUAGUCCACGCCGUAAACGAUGAGUGCUAGGUGUUGGAUCCUUUCCGGGAUUCAGUGCCGCAGCUAACGCAUUAAGCACUCCGCCUGGGGAGUACGACCGCAAGGUUG